CCCAGUAAACGGCGGCCGUAACUAUAACGGUCCUAAGGUAGCGAAAUUCCUUGUCGGGUAAGUUCCGACCCGCACGAAAGGCGUAACGAUUUGGGCACUGUCUCAACGAGAGACUCGGUGAAAUCAUAGUACCUGUGAAGAUGCAGGUUACCCGCGACAGGACGGAAAGACCCCGUGGAGCUUUACUGUAGCCUGAUAUUGAAAUUCGGCACAGCUUGUACAGGAUAGGUAGGAGCCUUUGAAACGUGAGCGCUAGCUUACGUGGAGGCGCUGGUGGGAUACUACCCUAGCUGUGUUGGCUUUCUAACCCGCACCACUUAUCGUGGUGGGAGACAGUGUCAGGCGGGCAGUUUGACUGGGGCGGUCGCCUCCUAAAAGGUAACGGAGGCGCUCAAAGGUUCCCUCAGAAUGGUUGGAAAUCAUUCAUAGAGUGUAAAGGCAUAAGGGAGCUUGACUGCGAGACCUACAAGUCGAGCAGGG
rnacentral:rRNA from 1 species